rnacentral:rRNA from 1 species
CRACGCGACCCCAGGUCAGGCGGGGCUACCCGCUGAGUUUAAGCAUAUCAAUAAGCGGAG